rnacentral:rRNA from 1 species
GAUGAACGCUGGCGGCGUGCUUAACACAUGCAAGUCGAACGGUGAAGGGACUGGUUUUGCUGGUCCUGGAUGAGUGGCGAACGGGUGAGUAACACGUGAGUAACCUGCCCCCUUCUUCUGGAUAACCGCAUGAAAGUGUGGCUAAUACGGGAUAUUCUGGGUCUGUCGCAUGGUGGGCCUGGGAAAGAUUGCGCCUUUUUUGGUGUUUUUGGUGGGGGAUGGGCUCGCGGCCUAUCAGCUUGUUGGUGGGGUGAUGGCCUACCAAGGCGGUGACGGGUAGCCGGCCUGAGAGGGUGGACGGUCACACUGGGACUGAGACACGGCCCAGACUCCUACGGGAGGCAGCAGUGGGGAAUAUUGCACAAUGGGCGCAAGCCUGAUGCAGCGACGCCGCGUGAGGGAUGGAGGCCUUCGGGUUGUGAACCUCUUUCGCCAGUGAAGCAGGCCUGCCUCUUUUUGUGGGUGGGUUGACGGUAGCUGGAUAAGAAGCGCCGGCUAACUACGUG